GAAACACACAUUUAGCAUAUAUCAGGGAAGGUAACUCCGAAAGACUUUUCCUUUUAAAAAGCAAUUAUUUCUAUUAACAAAUUCGUGUUCUGUACAACAAACCUUUUUUUAAAAGGGGACUUUAGAGUUUCUCAUUUUAGAUCUAUUGAGAACAAUUUUGUUGGAAUGUAAAGCACAUACUUGCAGUAAAAUGACUAUGCUUUUGAGACAAUGGUUUAAGUUUAGGUCAUACCAAAGUCAAAUUUUUCUGGAAUUAAGAUUUGCAAGUAAUGGAAAACCAAACCAUAAACUUGGGAGACCUCAAAUUCCGAAUCAAAGACGCCUUCCAUCAAGGUCAUCUCUUUCUCCAGGACAGCGUCUGAAUUCAUUGUUACCAGAACAAUUUCAAAUUGAUGAACAACAAAAGACAACCAAUAAGUCUGACAAUAAAAACAAAGUAGAAUACACAACAAAGAAAAGAACAGUGAAGAAGUACUCAGCAUAUGAUAGAGUUAAAGAUCAGUUGUCUACAUAUACAAAUGACGAUAAACCUGAAUCAUGACAAAUUGAAGUUUUAGAAUUUAGGAUCAAUAAAGAUGUCGUCAGGCGAGUUGUCACCUGAAGAAAUGUACCAUGAUGCACUGGCAGGACUAGCAGAAUCAUACUGACUGUCAUGAUCACACUCUUCACAACGUUUUGGGGAAGCAUGAGGACCUCUUGGAUAGCCAUCAUCAUCAGGAUCCUUCAUGUAACUUCUGAUAGCUCCUGCAUGAUGUAAAGCUCUGCUACGUUUCCAAACUGGAUGACUGAUAUCUAUUGCCAUAAUCUGAAAAUUUAAUUUUGAUUUAUUAUGAAAAGUUGUGGUCUUAUAAAUACUUUACUUAUAUAAAUAUUUCAAGAUAA